AUUGAACGCUGGCGGCAUGCCUUACACAUGCAAGUCGAACGGUAACAGGUCUUCGGAUGCUGACGAGUGGCGAACGGGUGAGUAAUACAUCGGAACGUGCCCGAUCGUGGGGGAUAACGAAGCGAAAGCUUUGCUAAUACCGCAUACGAUCUACGGAUGAAAGCAGGGGACCGCAAGGCCUUGCGCGAACGGAGCGGCCGAUGGCAGAUUAGGUAGUUGGUGGGAUAAAAGCUUACCAAGCCGACGAUCUGUAGCUGGUCUGAGAGGACGACCAGCCACACUGGGACUGAGACACGGCCCAGACUCCUACGGGAGGCAGCAGUGGGGAAUUUUGGACAAAGGGCGAAAGCCUGAUCCAGUCAUGCCGCGUGCAGGAUGAAGGCCUUCGGGUUGUAAACUGCUUUUGUACGGAACGAAAAGACUCUGGUUAAUACCUGGGGUCCAUGACGGUACCGUAAGAAUAAGCACCGGCUAACUACGUG
rnacentral:rRNA from 1 species